GGGGGUGUACUGGCUUUGACAGGCAUUUUAGUUUAUUAUAUUGCAGUGGUAUCGCAAACCAUAAUGCGACUAGGCUUUUGUUAAACGCAAAAUCUAAAAACGAAGAUCAACAAAUUGAUCUUAACUUUGUGCUAAAUGCACAAAACAAUGCAAAUCUAGUUUACGCUUAGUUAAAUUAGUUGUUUAUUACCUUGUCGGGUGGUAAUAAACAAAGUACCGACUAGUAUUAUUAGUUUUUUAGUUGCUAGUAGUAUGAAAUUCUAACUAAACUGUAUAUAGUGUUUUGUGAGUUUUUUACAUUAUAUAUCAGUACAAAAAUUUACUAAACUGUAGACAUUGAUAAAUUAGAAUGUGUGGACCGGGGUUCGACUCCCCGCAUCUCCACCA
rnacentral:tmRNA from 2 species